rnacentral:rRNA from 1 species
AUUGAACGCUGGCGGCAGGCCUAACACAUGCAAGUCGAGCGGAUGAAGGGAGCUUGCUCCUGGAUUCAGCGGCGGACGGGUGAGUAAUGCCUAGGAAUCUGCCUGGUAGUGGGGGAUAACGUCCGGAAACGGGCGCUAAUACCGCAUACGUCCUGAGGGAGAAAGUGGGGGAUCUUCGGACCUCACGCUAUCAGAUGAGCCUAGGUCGGAUUAGCUAGUUGGUGGGGUAAAGGCCUACCAAGGCGACGAUCCGUAACUGGUCUGAGAGGAUGAUCAGUCACACUGGAACUGAGACACGGUCCAGACUCCUACGGGAGGCAGCAGUGGGGAAUAUUGGACAAUGGGCGAAAGCCUGAUCCAGCCAUGCCGCGUGUGUGAAGAAGGUCUUCGGAUUGUAAAGCACUUUAAGUUGGGAGGAAGGGCAGUAAGUUAAUACCUUGCUGUUUUGACGUACCAACAGAAUAAGCACCG